ensembl:snRNA U4 U4 spliceosomal RNA
AGCUUUGUAUAGUGGAAAUAUGGUAGUCAAUAAGGUUUAUCCUACAUUAUUGCUAACUGAAAACUUUUUCCAAUACUGGCUCAUAGGCCAGAUUAAGAUGGCCUAUCAUUAUAGUCUGGCUCAUAGGCC